rnacentral:lncRNA from 1 species
CAGUGGUUCAACCAUUAUGCUCAAAGUUGAAAGAGCUAUAGACCUUGUGUGGUAUGUUCAGUCCAUUUUCCUUUCACAGUUUGUCAAUAACUCAACACCUAGAAAUUCAACAAACAAAAAGUUUAUAAUUCAUGUUGGUUUUGUUUGUUUGUUUUGAUGUUUGUUUUUUUUUGUUUGUUUUGUUUUGUUUUAAUAAAAAUAAUAAAAUAACCUCUUUGCUGUACUUGCUAAAAUGAAUUAAAUGAAUUAAAACAUUUCUAAAAAACAAAAUUAAUAGUACUAAGCAGAGAUACAGAAGGGUUACUUUUUUUUUUUUUUUUUCUUUGAAACCUACCUGUCAUUGUAUUACAUGGUGUCUGAAUUCAUGGGUUCAGGCAUUUGGCAUUAACACUGACUGUAGGAUAACCUCUCAUCUUCUUCUCUGUCCUGUGACCUAAGGCGCGAUUAUGGGCAUGAUCACCAGCUGCCAGUUUGCCAUGUUCAUGGGGGACGCUGAAAACAGGAUGCUUUGUGACUGAUAACAAAGUAUAAGGUAUCUGCCAUCUGUGGGAGAAUCUGAUGCAGGUGUAAUAUCUGAGGUUCAGCACAGAGACGUGAGAAAUUUGACAACUAUAUCUUGUACCUCUUUUUCUGCAGAAGAUUGGCGUGGAAAAUGGCUUGGUUUUGAAGAUAUAUUAUCUCAGGAAAACAAGAGAAGCUCCAUCUAUCCAAAUGGGCCUUUUCAAUUCACUUCCUUCUUCAGUUCCCCAUCAAUCCUUGGCAUCCUUGUUGGCCUCCUCUGCAUUUCCUAUUUUACUCUGCUCCUCCACCUCCCACAUAAAUUAGUGAUGCUGCACCAUCAACAGAAGGAGCUGUGUAAAAUGAGUAUUGGAUGCAGUGUGCUCUGCAUGGGGAAAGCCCUGUACUGUAGGAUAUAAAGGGCUGAAUAUGAAGUGUCACUGACCAUAGUGUGAAAGAUUAGGGGGAAUUGCUGCAUGGCGACAAGGAGCCAUUUAGCUAUCCAAAUUCCCUGUGACAUGAUGUUCUUGGAUGUGAUGUAAAUGUGUUUUUGCAAAUGUGAAAGCAUUGCACUGUACUAAGGAAUUAUGGAAGCAGCAGGUAACCUGAAUAUAGAGCGAUGUUCUGGAUGUAGACCGAUGCUGUCUGGAGGGGGUCCAGGGCUAUUGUAAGCUUGAAAUGUGUGCCAGAAGCAUGACAUUAUGCUGUGUGUCAUGUUAUUGUUGACCAUUAGAAAGUCCUUUGUCACACAGCAUGAUGGUACUGUGGGAUUGGUAUUGGUGGAAGUGAGGUAGGAAUUUUUGUUGUGAGGGUGGUGGAAGAAGCAUGUAUAAUAAGCAGAAUCACAGGGAGCUCUGCAGUAUAUGAGAUAAUGGCAGAGCUAACAAGAUAUAUCUUAAUAUACAGAACAUGAAGUGGGUUUUACAAGUCCUAUUUAACGCUUCAUAAUAAACAGAUCACAUUUGUUUAUUAUUCA